rnacentral:rRNA from 1 species
UACGUAGGCAGCGAGCGUUGUUCGGAGUUACUGGGCGUAAAGGGUGUGUAGGCGGUUGUUUAAGUUUGGUGUGAAAUCUCCCGGCUCAACUGGGAGGGUGCGCCGAAUACUGAAUGACUCGAGUGUGGGAGAGGUGAGUGGAAUUCCUGGUGUAGCGGUGAAAUGCGUAGAGAUCGGGAGGAACACCAGAGGCGAAGGCGGCGACCUGGACAAGCACUGACACUCAACUACGAAAGCGUGGGUAGCAAACAGG